AUGCUUGAUGAAUUCUGGAACUUGUUGAAAUUUUACAAAUGCUUGAUGAAAUGUCGACAGCUAAGUCCAUCCUGAGCGGUUUACCUGAGCAA